rnacentral:rRNA from 1 species
UACGUAGGGUGCAAGCGUUUAAUCGGAAUUACUGGGCGUAAAGCGUGCGCAGGCGGUUUUGUAAGUCUGUUGUGAAAUCCCCGGGCUCAACCUGGGAAUGGCAAUGGAGACUGCAAGGCUAGAGUUUGGCAGAGGGGGGUAGAAUUCCACGUGUAGCAGUGAAAUGCGUAGAUAUGUGGAGGAACACCGAUGGCGAAGGCAGCCCCCUGGGUCAAAAACUGACGCUCAUGCACGAAAGCGUGGGGAGCAAACAGG